rnacentral:lncRNA from 1 species
GGGACCUAGAGCCAGAAACUGAGUUACAAAAAAUAAAGGGAUGGAUAUUUCUCGCCUGCUUGAGUUACCUACUAUUGAGAUACCUGCAGCUUACAAUCUAAGGCUGAACUGAUGCAGCAGAGCAGCUGUGAUGUAACCUUCUGUCCUCUGGGAUGCUGUAUUUUGUACAAGGGCCUGGAUUUUAAGUGUACAAACCAAGAGGACUCCUUUCGUCUACUAUGGUCCAUAGCCAAUCUGAAGACCACCUGG